rnacentral:rRNA from 1 species
CCUGGUUGAUCCUGCCAGUAGUCAUAUGCUUGUUUCAAGGACUAAGCCAUGCACGUCUCAGAGUAAACGGAGCACAGUAGGUCUGUGUACGGCUCAUUAUAUCAGCUACAAUCUGACCUGCGAAGUUGGAUGAUGUCCCAUCCCACCACACGGAUAACCUGUUGGAAUCCGGAGGCUAAGACGUGGAAGAGCAACUCUUCCUCCAUCUCAACACCGAAGGGAAACCGGAGGUGCGGAGGGCGGGCGUAUCCGACCGACACAAAAGCCAACGCCCAUCGGGCAGCGUGUAUUGAUGACUCAGGUCGGAGACGGCUAAAGGGCACCGCCUCGUGCUGGCCCGUCGCAGGUAGAAUUUCUGCCCUAUCAGCUUUCGAUGGUAGUGUCGUGGACUACCAUGGCGUUCACGGGUAACGGAGUAUUGGGGUACGAUUCCGGAGAGGUGGCCUGAGAGACGGCCGCCACAUCCAAGGAAGGCAGCAGGCGCGCAAAUUGCCCACUAUCAACACUGAUGAGGCAGCGACGAGAAAUAACAACUGCGUUCGGUCCUACGAUCAGCGCAGAUUGUAAUGGACGGUACCCAAACCCAUCGAUGAGUAUCAAUUGGAGGGCAAGUCUGGUGCCAGCAGCCGCGGUAAUUCCAGCUCCAAGAGCUAUACUAAUGUUGUUUCGGUUAAAAAGCCCGUAGUUGAACUGAGAGCCGAGGUUGCAUUGCGGCCCUUCCGGGUCGUUGACUGUCAGUUAUGCUGUCAGGCCAUCGGCCUGGUUGAGGAUUCAACCCAGUGCAUUAGACCUCGGUUCUUCGCAAGGGUGCUUCCAUCGAUCAUGGACGUGAGUGUGGGGAUCGAAGAUGAUCAGAUACCGUCGUAGUCCAUUACCGUAAACGAUGUCGCCCCGGCGGUGAGAGCUUUUACUUUUCUCAAGACUCUCCCAUCGUGGACCUUUCUAACGAAAAAUCAAAGGCUUCGGAUUCCGGGGGGAGUACACUCGCAAGGCUGAAACUUAAAGGAAUUGACGGAAUGACACCACCAGGCGUGGAGUAUGCGGCUUAAUUUGACUCAACACGAGGAAUUUUACCAGGUCAGGACAUCGUAAGGAUUGACAGAUUGAGAGCUCUUUCAUGAUCCGAUGAAUGGUGGUGCAUGGCCGUUACUGGUUGGUGUUGCGAAAUGUCUGCUUGAUUGCGUUAACGAACGAGAUCACCGCCUCUAAACACGUGCCGGCGCUCGCUGUAGGACAAUGGGGAGCCCUCGGGUUUUUGCCAGCGUUUGAGAGCCCGGAUCACUUCUUAGGGGGACUGCGGAUAAAAGUCCGCGGAAGAUGGUGCCAAUAGCAGGUCUGUGAUGCUCUUAAAUGUUAUGGGCCGCACGCGCACUACAAUGGUGCGGUAAACGAGUACCACUCUUUAUGAGACCUAACUCGAAGGAGAUGGGCAAUCUGCUGAACCCGCGUUGUGCUGGGGAUCGAUGAUUGCAAUUAUUUGCCAUGAACCAGGAAUGCCUAGUAGGCGCGACUCAUCAGGUCGCACCGAUUAUGUCCCUGCCAAUUGUACACACCGCCCGUCGUUGCUACCGAUGAUGUGGAGGUGGAGACGUUGGGAGAGGCAGGACCAUUAAUGUUCGUGGAAUUUAGUUCUGCUUCGAAUUCUCCGACACCUC